rnacentral:rRNA from 1 species
GCGUGAGUGAAGAAGCCUGCGGGUAGUAAAGCUCUUUCGGCAGGAACGAAAUGGUUCGUGCUAAUACCACGGACUGAUGACGGUACCUGAAGAAGAAGCACCGGCUAACUACGUGCCAGCAGCCGCGGUAAUACGUAGGGUGCAGGCGUUAAUCGGAAUUACUGGGCGUAAAGCGUGCGCAGGCGGUUUCUUAAGUCAGAUGUGAAAGCCCCGGGCUUAACCUGGGAACUGCGUUUGAAACUGGGAGACUUGAGUGUGGCAGAGGGGGGUGGAAUUCCACGUGUAGCAGUGAAAUGCGUAGAUAUGUGGAGGAACACCGAUGGCGAAGGCAGCCCCCUGGGCUAACACUGACGCUCAUGCACGACAGCGUGGGGAGCAAACAGGAUUAGAUACCCUGGUAGUCCACGCCCUAAACUAUGUCAACUGGUUGUCGGGGGAUUAACUCCCUUGGUAACGAAGCUAACGCGUGAAGUCGACCGCCUGGGGAGUACGGCCGCAAGGUCACAACUCAACAGGAAUCGACGGGGACCCGCACACAGCGGUGC